ensembl:lncRNA
CAGUCACAUCUGUUCUCACUCCAGCUUUCAUGAGUUGUUUUUAUUUAAUCAGAUGAUUGUCAGCAGUUCAGGAUCAGUAGAAAACAUGACAGACAUUUUAAAAGAAAACAACUUUAUAUGACAUAAGAAGUAAAACAAACCUUUAAAAACCAAUAAAAUGUGAUUCUGUGGUCAGUGCAGGUUCAUCAGUGUAGCCAGCAGGGGGAGACAACAAGCCACACCAGGUGCAUCAUGGGAACUGUAGUGUUUGUAGUUUGUUUAAUGAUUUAUUUUAAAUGCUUAUCAUAAUUUAUUCAGUUUGUUGUCUGUAUCUGAACCAAAAUCUUAUGUCAUGUUUUUUCUUCAGGUAAAACACACCCAUUUCACCCAUGAAGUAGAAAAGUCACACGGCUACAUAAACGAUCACAUUACGCUUUAAUUUCACCCAUGAAGUAGAAAAGUCACACGGCUACAUAAACGAUCACAUCACGCCUUAAUUUACCUGACGAGAUGAACAAAAAACAAUCCUUCAUUUUACAGGAACAGAAAAACCUUCAGCAGAGAACAGCAGCAGACCAGAUCAUCAGUAGCAUCCUGUAGUCCUCCGCUAGUGUAACAGCAGCGACCAACCACAGGCAGCUAACCUGUGCAGGUACGCAAAGGUGUAGCACUCACCUGUGCAGGUAUGGACAGGUGCAGCACUCACCUGUGCAGGUAUGGACAGGUGCAGCACUCACCUGUGCAGGUGCAUACAGGUGUAGUGCUCACCUGUGCAGGCUAUAUAGGUGCAGCACUCACAUACAGACGAAUGCAGUGCUCUCCUGUCCAUACCUACACAGCUGAGCAUGUUGGUCUGAGACCUCUGAUUGGUGGACAUGGGGCUGGGAGGUGGAUUUAGUUCCCAAACUGUUGUUUAUGCUAAGUUAAGCUAACAGUUAGCUCAAAGUUGAGCUUUCACUGUUCUGAGAGUUUAAUCCAAAUAAAAGCACUGAUCAAUGGAGUGAUGAUCAGUACAGGUAUUGAUCAGUGAUGAUCAAUUCAGGUAUUGAUCAGUGACAGAUCCGCUGCUUCACUGCUGCUCUAUGAGGGGAAACUGACAUUCUGUUCAGUUGUUCAUCAACCUAAGAUCUGCUAAUGAAACCUGAACUCUACCCAGGGGCCCCAGCGGCUCCUCGGGCCCCCAGCGGCUCCUCAGGCCUUCUGCUCUGGUUUGGGGCUUUCAGGGACGGUGAGGGAGUCCAGAGAGGACAGCUCAUCUGGAUCAGGCAGCAGC